AUGGAGCUCCUCCCGCCACUGCCUCAGUCCUUCCUGUUGCUGCUGCUGUUGCCUGCCGAGCCUGCGGCGGGCGAGGACUGGCAGUGCCCGCGCACACCCUACGCGGCCUCUCGCGACUUUGACGUGAAGUACGUGGUGCCCAGCUUCUCCGCCGGAGGCCUGGUACAGGCCAUGGUGACCUACGAGGGCGACAGAAAUGAGAGUGCUGUGUUUGUAGCCAUACGCAAUCGCCUGCAUGUGCUUGGGCCUGACCUGAAGUCUGUCCAGAGCCUGGCCACGGGUCCUGCUGGGGACCCUGGCUGCCAGACGUGUGCAGCCUGUGGCUCAGGCCCCCACGGCCCUCCCGGUGACACAGACACAAAGGUGCUGGUGCUAGAGCCCGCGCUGCCUGCGCUGGUCAGUUGUGGCUCCAGCCUGCAGGGCCGCUGCUUCCUGCAUGACCUAGAGCCCCAAGGGACAGCCGUGCAUCUGGCAGCACCAGCCUGCCUCUUCUCAGCCCACCAUAACCGGCCCGAUGACUGCCCUGACUGUGUGGCCAGCCCAUUGGGCACCCGUGUGACUGUGGUUGAGCAAGGCCAGGCCUCCUAUUUCUACGUGGCAUCCUCACUGGACGCAGCCGUGGCUGCCAGCUUCAGCCCACGCUCAGUGUCUAUCAGGCGUCUCAAGGCUGACGCCUCGGGAUUCGCACCGGGCUUUGUGGCGUUGUCAGUGCUGCCCAAGCAUCUUGUCUCCUACAGUAUUGAAUACGUGCACAGCUUCCACACGGGAGCCUUCGUAUACUUCCUGACUGUACAGCCGGCCAGCGUGACAGAUGCUCCUAGUGCCCUGCACACACGCCUGGCACGGCUUAGCGCCACUGAGCCAGAGUUGGGUGACUAUCGGGAGCUGGUCCUCGACUGCAGAUUUGCUCCAAAACGCAGGCGCCGGGGGGCCCCAGAGGGCGGACAGCCCUACCCUGUGCUGCGGGUGGCCCACUCCGCUCCAGUGGGUGCCCAGCUUGCCACUGAGCUGAGCAUCGCUGAGGGUCAGGAAGUGCUAUUUGGGGUCUUUGUGGCUGGCAAGGAUGGUGGUCCUGGCGUGGGCCCCAACUCUGUCGUCUGUGCCUUCCCCAUUGACCUGCUGGACACACUAAUUGAUGAGGGUGUGGAACGCUGUUGUGAAUCCCCAGUCCAUCCAGGCCUCCGGCGAGGCCUCGACUUCUUCCAGUCGCCGAGUUUUUGCCCCAACCCGCCUGGCCUGGAGGCCCUCAGCCCCAACACCAGCUGCCGCCACUUCCCUCUGCUGGUCAGUAGCAGCUUCUCACGUGUGGACCUAUUCAAUGGGCUGUUGGGACCAGUACAGGUCACUGCAUUGUAUGUGACACGCCUUGACAACGUCACAGUGGCGCACAUGGGCACGAUGGAUGGGCGUAUCCUGCAGGUGGGUCCUCAUCCCCACAGCCCCCUGGCCCUGGGUCCUUGUCUCCAUCCCCAUUUUGCUCACAUCUGACCUGUCCUAGGUGGAGCUGGCCAGGUCACUCAACUACUUGCUGUAUGUGUCCAACUUCUCACUGGGUGACAGUGGGCAGCCCGUGCAGCGGGAUGUCAGUCGUCUCGGGGACCACCUACUCUUCGCCUCUGGGGACCAGGUUUUCCAGGUACCUAUCCGAGGCCCUGGCUGCCGCCACUUCCUCACCUGUGGGCGUUGCCUAAGGGCACAGCGUUUCAUGGGCUGUGGCUGGUGUGGGAACAUGUGUGGCCAGCAGAAGGAGUGUCCUGGCUCCUGGCAACAGGACCACUGCCCACCUAAGCUUACUGAGUUCCACCCCCACAGUGGACCUCUAAGGGGCAGUACAAGGCUGACCCUGUGUGGCUCCAACUUCUACCUGCACCCUUCUGGUCUGGUGCCUGAGGGAACCCAUCAGGUCACUGUGGGCCAAAGUCCCUGCUGGCCACUGCCCAAGGACAGCUCAAAACUCAGACCAGUGCCCCGGAAAGACUUUGUAGAGGAGUUUGAGUGUGAACUGGAGCCCUUGGGCACCCAGGCAGUGGGGCCUACCAACGUCAGCCUCACCGUGACUAACAUGCCACCGGGCAAGCACUUCCGGGUAGACGGCACCUCCGUGCUGAGAGGCUUCUCUUUCAUGGAGCCAGUGCUGAUAGCAGUGCAACCCCUCUUUGGCCCACGGGCAGGAGGCACCUGUCUCACUCUUGAAGGCCAGAGUCUGUCUGUAGGCACCAGCCGGGCUGUGCUGGUCAAUGGGACUGAGUGUCUGCUAGCACAGGUCAGUGAGGGGCAGCUUUUAUGUGCCACACCCCCUGGGGCCACAGUGGCCAGUGUCCCCCUUAGCCUGCAGGUGGGGGGUGCCCAGGUACCUGGUUCCUGGACCUUCCACUACAGAGAAGACCCUGUCGUGCUAAGCAUCAGCCCCAACUGUGGCUACAUCAACUCCCACAUCACCAUCUGUGGCCAGCAUCUAACUUCAGCAUGGCACUUAGUGCUGUCAUUCCAUGAUGGGCUUAGGGCAGUGGAAAGCAGGCAGUGUGAGAGGCAGCUUCCAGAGCAGCAGCUGUGCCGCCUUCCUGAAUAUGUGGUCCGAGACCCCCAGGGAUGGGUGGCAGGGAAUCUGAGUGCCCGGGGGGAUGGAGCUGCUGGCUUUACACUGCCUGGCUUUCGCUUCCUACCCCCACCCCAUCCACCCAGUGCCAACCUAGUUCCACUGAAGCCUGAGGAGCAUGCCAUUAAGUUCGAGGUAAGUGUAAGGGAUAGGGGCAGGAAGAGUUGGGGAUCUGAAAGUAAGGGCCAACCUACUGGCUGGUCCUCAUGA
rnacentral:sRNA from 1 species